UGACCUCGUAGCGCAGUUGGCAGAGCAUUGGACUGGUUCCCAAAUGUCGCGGGUUCGAUUCCCACCGUGGCCAAGCUAACUUUUCAGCUUGCCCCGUGUGGAUGCACACUCAGAGUAACAUCACAAACAUCAUGUUCUGAUAUGAUCGCGGACGGGGGUCACAGAACGCCCGGGAUAAAUUGACUACCAUGGCCAAUACUGUUUUGCUAUACUGAGGCUAUGACUAUUAAUUGAUGAGCGAAGCGAGUAUGCAAAGAAUGGAAGGUCGAAGCUUCAAGGGCGCUUUGAGUUGAGUGGUGGACAAAGGCUUGCAAGCUUUGUAUAUUGUCCAAGUGCAAGACUGGGCUAAAAAUUUCAGCUUGUGAUGACUGCAAGCAGGGCCGCCGAAAGAAUUUGUGGGGGCCGGGGCAAGUCUUCUCUGGGGGCCCCCUGACAUCAUUACUUUUAAGGUACAUCCAUGUUAGUCACCCAACUAGGCCUUAGCUAGACUGCAUGUGGACUGUGCUACUGUAAGGGGCCCUCGAUUUCAAAAAUGCUCUGACCAAUUUAAAGAACAUACUCAAUUUUACGCUCUAUCUCUCAAGUUGGACCCGGUGUCCCAGGAUUUUCGCCCCCCCUACAUUUCCGCCCCCGGGGGCGAAAUUCCUAGGAAUAUCGCCCCCCUCCCAGGGGGGCGAAAAUCCUAGGAAUUUCG